ensembl:snRNA U2 U2 spliceosomal RNA
UGUCCUCAAUAGGAGGUCUAUAUUGAGUAGAUUUUUGGUGUUGGGAGGUGACACUGGAGCUUGCUCCAUCCCCUCCAUGCAUCGGCCUGGUAUGCCAGUGCUUCCAGGAGCGGUGC